rnacentral:piRNA from 1 species
UGAAGCUUCAGGUAAUGCAUC